rnacentral:rRNA from 1 species
AGGACGAACGCUGGCGGCGCGCUUAACACAUGCAAGUCGAACGUGAAGCUGGAGCUUGCUCCGGUGGAAAGUGGCGAACGGGUGCGUAACACGUGAGCAACCUGCCCCGAAGACUGGGAUAACACCGGGAAACCGGUGCUAAUACCGGAUACCUUCUUCCGAUCGCAUGGUCGGCUGAAGAAAUGGAUUCCGCUUCGGGAUGGGCUCGCGGCCUAUCAGCUUGUUGGUGAGGUAACGGCCCACCAAGGCGACGACGGGUAGCUGGUCUGAGAGGACGACCAGCCACACUGGAACUGAGACACGGUCCAGACUCCUACGGGAGGCAGCAGUGGGGAAUAUUGGGCAAUGGAGGCAACUCUGACCCGGCCAUGCCGCGUGGGUGACGAAGGUCUUCGGAUUGUAAAGCCCUUUCUGCGGGGACGAUGAUGACGGUACCCGCAGAAGAGCCCCGGCUAACUUCGUGCCAGCAGCCGC